CUCCGAAGAGACAAAGGGGGACAUCCUGUGUCCCAUGGGCCCGAGGGAUAUGGAAGUAGCUGAGAGAGCUGGACCUGGGGGAUCCUGGUGGUGGAGAAGAAAGGCCAGUGCAACAGUCGCCUUGAAUCCACAGUCAAGGACCAGAAAGGAUGCUGCACAUAGAGAAGGUAGGAGGUGGUCCUAAGAUGGCAGAGGAAAAGGACGGGGAACCACUUUCUCCCCAACAAAUUCAUCGAAAGAACAUUUCAACGCUGAGUAAAUUCCACAAAACAACUUUUGAAUGCUGGCAGAGGACAUCAGGCACCCAGAAAAGCAGCCCAUUGUCUUUGAAAGGAGAUGUUUUAUCAACGGUGCUAUACAGGUGGAGAAGUCUGGAGGCUACUAUAAAAAUAAGACUGAAAACCAGAAGCAGGAGGCUUAAGUCCAAAUCCUGAGAACACCAGAGAACUCCUGACUCCAGGGAACAUUAAUCGACAGGAGCUCAUCAAACGCCUCCAUACCUACACUGAAACCAAGCACCACCCAAGGGCCAACAAGUUCCAGAGCAAGACAUACCAUACAAAUUCUCCAACAACAUAGGAACACAGCCCUGAGCUUCAAUAUACAGGCUGCCCAAAGUCAAUCCAAACCCACUGACGUCUCAUAACUCAUUACUGGACACUUCAUUGCACUCCAUAGAGAAGAAAUCCAGCUCCACCCACCAGAACACCGACACAAGCUUCCCUAACCAGGAAACCUUGACAAGCCUCCCGUCCAAUCCCACCCACAGUAAGGAACCUCCACAAUAAAGAGAACUCCACAAACUGCCA
rnacentral:lncRNA from 1 species